AGAACGAACGUUAGCGGCGCGCCUAACACAUGCAAGUCGAGCGAGAAAGGGGCAACCCCGGUAAAGCGGCGCACGGGUGAGUAACACGUAGGUAAUCUACCCUCGGGUGGAGGAUAACCUUCCGAAAGGAGGGCUAAUACUGCAUGAGACCACGACCUCGAAAGGGGAUGGGGUCAAAGCCGGCCACUUUUCAAAAGCUGGCGCCUGAGGUUGAGCCUGCGGCCCAUCAGCUAGUUGGUAGGGUAACGGCCUACCAAGGCGAAGACGGGUAGCUGGUCUGAGAGGAUGAUCAGCCACACUGGAACUGAGACACGGUCCAGACUCCUACGGGAGGCAGCAGUGGGGAAUCUUGCGCAAUGGGCGAAAGCCUGACGCAGCGACGCCGCGUGAGUGAUGAAGGCCUUCGGGUUGUAAAGCUCUGUGGGCGGGGACGAGUAAGGGUUGGCUAAUAUCCAACCUGAUGACGGUACCCGUUUAGCAAGCACCGGCUAACUCUGUGCCAGCAGCCGCGGUUAACG
rnacentral:rRNA from 1 species